rnacentral:rRNA from 1 species
GAUGAACGCUGGCGGCGUGCCUAACACAUGCAAGUCGAACGGAGUCCAGCCUUUAAGACCUUCGGGUCAAAGAGGGGAAGACUGAGUGGCGGACGGGUGAGUAACACGUGGGCAACCUGGCUCAUAGAGGGGGAUAACAGAGAGAAAUUUCUGCUAAUACCGCAUAAGCACACACUGCCGCAUGGCAGAGGGUGAAAAGAGAAUCGCUAUGAGAUGGACCCGCGUCUGAUUAGCCAGUUGGCAGGGUAAGAGCCUACCAAAGCGACGAUCAGUAGCCGAUCUGAGAGGAUGAACGGCCACAUUGGGACUGAGACACGGCCCAAACUCCUACGGGAGGCAGCAGUGGGGGAUAUUGCACAAUGGGGGGAACCCUGAUGCAGCGACGCCGCGUGAGUGAAGAAGUAUGUCGGUAUGUAAAGCGCUAUCAGCAGGGAAGAUAAUGACAGUACCUGAAUAAGAAGCCCCGGCUAACUACGUG